AAGGCAUCGCUGGGUAGCUAUGUGCGGACGGGAUAAGUGCUGAAAGCAUCUAAGCAUGAAGCCCCCCUCAAGAUGAGAUUUCCCAUAGCGUCAAGCUAGUAAGAUCCCUGAAAGAUGAUCAGGUUGAUAGGUCAGAGGUGGAAGCGUGGUGACAUGUGGAGCUGACUGAUACUAAUCGAUCGAGGACUUAACCAUA
rnacentral:rRNA from 1 species